rnacentral:misc_RNA from 1 species
UCGGUGAGGCGGAUGACGUGC